GAUGUUAAAAUAUUCUAUAUAUGCAGUUUCGUAAUUUUUAAAAAAUAAAAUUCUAAUGUUAGUCAGAUACCCUGCACGUGCAAAUUCUUUCGCAGUACAUGCGGUUAAUCCAAUUAAAAAUCUGUGUAACAACUACCCUAUAAAUGUAAGCUCAAUCGAUCUUCGUUUCGAUGCUUUUCAUUUCUUUGGAAUUUACUCUGGAUUUACAAGUAAUUUUACACAUCUGCAUACCGAUAAUCCACUUUACGCAAUGCUGUUAUGAAUGUUAUGCGACUGUUGCAUUUGCAAAUUGUUUCGUAAAAUGUAGCCACUAUCACUGCUUUCGCUGCUUUUUUUCUCGCGCAGCGGUAUUUUUAUUAUAACAGUUUAUUAUAAUUAUCUAUGUUAUGAGCGACCGUUAUCGUUAGGCGAUGACAUUUCUCUAUCGGGAAACCGAUAAUUUUGAUACACGCAGCAUCGAUGAAAAACGUACAUACACAUAAGCGCGCGAACACAAGCCUCGUGACGGACUUUCAUCGACUGACACGCACGAAUAAAUAUUAUAUACUCGCCUUACGAGUUACGCCAACUCUACUGAAUCGGACAUCAGUCGAGGCUCGCUCUUAUAGGCCGCUCACUUUGAUUAGGCCCCUUUUUCGACGACGACUAUUGGCAUCCAUAGCCAAGGCAUCAUGAGAGCCUUGGCUUGCUGAUCUCUGCGAAAAAAUGUCCCGGGACUCUCUUUCCUCAAUGGAGGCAAUAAGUGGAAGUCGGUUCGAGCGGAAACGACGAUAAAUUGGAGCACAAUGCGUGUUCGAAAAUAGAGCAGCUACUUCGACGUUUGCCAAGAUCUCGGAACCAUGCGAUGUCGACUAGGUGCAAGAUACUGUAUAUUUCCCACAUCUAUGCCGGAUAUACAAGGAUGUGGUUCUAUGGAUACCCCGUAAUUAUCAGCUGCCGGCUAUUUGGGAAUUAAUCGGGUCACCUGUAUUGCUGGCAGUGACAAUCAACACUAAUUACAACCGCUAGCGGUGGAAUUAUUUGAGAAAUUACUCGAGUAAACGUUGUCUAUUACAAACGAAAUUUUGUGCUGAAACGAGCACUGGCUACUAAUUAUCAAAUGUAUUAAAUCAACAACUUUUCAAAAGACUUCAUCCUUUUAGAGAAUUAUCUGAACUUGGAGAGACUUUAAUUUUAAUGGAAAGUUCGUUACGGAAAGUUUUGCAGAACAGGAUAAGAUGGAGAAGAGUAAAAUUCUAUCUAUCAUAUAUAUUUCUAGCAGUUUACGCGAUCGAUAGAACUUAUAUCUAAAGUAAGAAGCAAGAAAAUUGCCUUGAGCGAUGCAUUGUGUCAAUGAAUACGGCUAAUUAAGCGUUCUUGUUUGACUCGUGUUCCAGUCUAUUGUGAUUUAAAGGAUUCGGUAAAUAAUCCAAUCAAGUUAAUUAACCAUGUUAAUUAUGUCGAUGUAAUAAUUAUAAUUAAUUGUGCAUUAUAAUUUUUUAUAAAAUUAAGAUUGAAAAAGAUAAAUCGAUUUAACAUAAGUAUUUUGCUUAUAAUUGUGUGGAAUUGUAAGUACUUUGUAAAAUUUUAAAUCUACAACAGAUUACUAAUUGCACGAACUGUUACACUCUG
rnacentral:lncRNA from 1 species